rnacentral:rRNA from 1 species
GACGAACGCUGGCGGCGUGCUUAACACAUGCAAGUCGAACGAAGAGCGAUGGAAGCUUGCUUCUAUCACUCUUAGUGGCGAACGGGUGAGUAACGCGUAAUCAACCUGCCCUUCAGAGGGGGACAACAGUUGGAAACGACUGCUAAUACCGCAUACGAUCUGACCUCGGCAUCGAGGAUAGAUGAAAGGUGGCCUCUAUUUAUAAGCUAUCACUGAAGGAGGGGAUUGCGUCUGAUUAGCUAGUUGGAGGGGUAACGGCCCACCAAGGCGAUGAUCAGUAGCCGGUCUGAGAGGAUGAACGGCCACAUUGGGACUGAGACACGGCCCAGACUCCUACGGGAGGCAGCAGUGGGGAAUCUUCCGCAAUAGACGAAAGUCUGACGGAGCAACGCCGCGUGAGUGAUGACGGCCUUCGGGUUGUAAAGCUCUGUUAAUCGGGACGAAAGGCCUUCUUGCGAAUAGUUAGAAGGAUUGACGGUACCGGAAUAGAAAGCCACGGCUAACUACGUG